rnacentral:lncRNA from 1 species
AACAAAAUAUGGACGAAAUUUGAAACAUAAACCAACUAACCGAUUCAAAACAACGACGAAGAAACGAAAAUGAUGGAGUAGCGAGGUCGACGGACAGUGGCGGACGCAGCUGAAGCAGCUAUGGUCGUCGACAUGCUGCUGCGUUUAACGACUAAGGUCGUCGAUGAGGAAGAAGACUGAAACAGUAGCAGCAACAGUCGACGCAGCAGAAGCGAUGCUCGAGCAGCAACAGCAUCCAUGGACGACGACGAGGAAGAAAACUGAAACAGUAGCAGCAACAUCCAUGGACGACGACGAGGAAGAAAACUGAAACAGUAGCAGCAACUAUUGCAGCCAAAUCAGUGGCACUCUUCAUGGUCGCAGCUCGAUUAGCUGAAGAAGCAGACGACGCAAGACGCAGAUGAAGAAGCGGACGACGCAGCUGGAGCGAGGACACAGAAGCAGCUGGAAUGGAGUAGCAACGACUGGUUGUUGACGACGAAGACGCAGCAGUGGCGACCAUGGAUGUCGAGCUCGAGCUUGAAGGUGGUUGUUUGGUUUUAAUGGAGGACGGGGGGUCGUUUGGACGCGAGAGUGGUUGUGUCGUUUGGUGGUUUGAAUGAAGAACGAAGGAGGAGGAGCAGAAGUUGGUCGUGAGGGGGAAGGGAAGUAGCGAGGGCAUUCAUGGGAGGG